UUGUAGGUAUUGGCCUGUGCUCCAUGCAGUCGAGCGCUCACUUCGGUGGGAGCGGCGGACGGGUUAGUAACGCGUGGGAAUAUGCCCAAAGGUAGGGAAUAGCCACUGGAAACGGUGAGUAAUACCCUAUGUGCCCUUCGGGGGAAAGAUUUAUCGCCUUUGGAUUAGCCCGCGUAAGAUUAGAUAGUUGGUGGGGUAAUGGCCUACCAAGUCUACGAUCUUUAGCUGGUUUUAGAGGAUGAUCAGCAACACUGGGACUGAGACACGGCCCAGACUCCUACGGGAGGCAGCAGUGGGGAAUCUUAGACAAUGGGCGCAAGCCUGAUCUAGCCAUGCCGCGUGAGUGAUGAAGGCCUUAGGGUCGUAAAGCUCUUUCCCCAGAGAUGAUAAUGACAGUAUCUGGUAAAGAAACCCCGGCUAACUCCGUGCCAGCAGCCGCGGUAAUACGGAGGGGGUUAGCGUUGUUCGGAAUUACUGGGCGUAAAGCGUAC
rnacentral:rRNA from 1 species